rnacentral:misc_RNA from 1 species
AGUGUUACAGGAACUGUUUUAGGGGUUGGAUGGGGCUUAGUGUUACAGGAACUGUUUUAAGGGUUGGAUGGGGCUCAGUGUUACAGGAAUUGUUUUAAGGGUUGGAUGGGGCUCAGUGUUACAGGAACUGUUUUAAGGGUUGGAUGGGGCUUAGUGUUACAGGAACUGUUUUAAGGGUUGGAUGGGGCUCAGUGCUACAGGAACUGUUUUAGGAGUUGAAUGGGGCUCAGUGUUACAGGAACUGCUUUAGGAGUUGGAUGGGGCUCAGUGCUAGAGGAACUGUUUUAGGAGUUGGAAGGGGCUCAGUGUUACAGGAACUGUUUUUGGAGUUGGAUGGGGCUCAGUGUUACAGGAACUGUUUUAAGAGUUGGAUGGGGCUCAGUGCUAGAGGAACUGUUUUAGGAGUUGGAUGGGGCUCAGUGUUACUGGAACUGUUUUAGGAGUUGGAUGGGGCUCAGUGUUACAGGAAUUGUUUUAAGGGUUGGAUGGGGCUCAGUGUUACAGGAACUGUUUUAAGUGUUGGAUGGGGCUCAGUGCUAGAGGAACUGUUUUAGGAGUUGGAUGGGGCUCGGUGUUACAGGAACUGUUUUAAGGGUUGGAUGGGGCUUAGUGUUACAGGAACUGUUUUAGGAGUUGGAUGGGGCUCAGUCAUUCAUUGAGGGCUCCAUUUUUAGACUGUAUUGAUCUCCUUUAGAAGAAGAGCUCUGUAUAAAAAUAAAGGAAAAAGCCCAAAUUUAAUACUAAAAAUUUAUGUUUUUUUCCUUGAGUUAAAAAUAGUUUAUAGGUAUACAAAUCUUCUUUAAUUUAAGGUAGAUUUGAUGAUUUAAUUGGUGACCACCGAGCCUCCUUAAGCUUUGUUAUCUUUGCCUCUCUAUGUUUUUUCUAUGAAUUCACAUUUAAAUACGGUGUACAGUUAUUGUUGAAGUCAUUGUAUACAUUGUAUACCGUAUUAUGAAUGCAACAUUUUGUCAUCUACAAACAUUGGUACAAUAACAUAAUUAUAUGCAUUGAUUAUCAAUAUGAUGUUAUUAUUCAGUUCCAAGUUGGGCAUUUUGUCAGGUUCGAAUUGUUCUUGCUCAUUGUUAUUAGAAAAUGUAAUUUUUUAAAAACAAUAAAUUCAGCGUAUUAU